rnacentral:rRNA from 1 species
CCUACGGGUGGCUGCAGUUCGGAAUAUUCGGCAAUGGACGAAAGUCUGACCGAGCGACGCCGCGUGAGGGAUGAAAGCCCUAUGGGUCGUAAACCUCUGUCACAGGUGAGCAAAUUACGUGUGGUUAAUAACCAUAUGUAUUGAGUUAAGCUUGAGAGGAAGCCCCCGCUAAUCACGUGCCAGCAGCGGCGGUAAUACGUGAGGGGCAAACGUUGUUCGGUGUCACUGGGCUUAAAGGGCGCGUAGGUGGCGGUAUAAGUAAGGUGUGAAAUCCC